rnacentral:rRNA from 1 species
UACAGAGGUCCCAAGCGUUGUUCGGAUUCACUGGGCGUAAAGGGUGCGUAGGUGGUGAGGUAAGUCGGAUGUGAAAGCUCGGAGCUCAACUCCGAAAUGGCAUUGGAAACUACCUUGCUCGAGGGUUGGAGGGGGGACUGGAAUACUUGGUGUAGCAGUGAAAUGCGUAGAUAUCAAGUGGAACACCAGUGGCGAAGGCGAGUCCCUGGACAACUCCUGACACCGAGGCACGAAAGCUAGGGGAGCAAACAGG